UUGUCAAGUGUAAGGAGAUAACGCUCGGUCUGGUUACUUAGCAGCCAGCUGUGUAUUACAUUCUCGUAGGGACAUUUCUAAAAGCUUCCUUUAGAUGACUUGGGAAAGGGUAAGACUAAAGACAAAGCACAGCCUGAAGCUCCAGCUGCUGACUGGAGCACGAAGGGAGAAUAACAGCUAAGAAAUAUGAGGUCUUUGGCCCCUUUCCCAGAAUCGCCAGGCUAAGACCUUGGCAGAGACUCAACAGGAAACUGAACUCUAUUUGCAUAUCCUUUUAUACAUGGGAGAUUAAAAGCUUCAACCUUGAAUGAUCACAGUUUCUGAGAAUCAUGACAAGGCAUUAAAGAAGAGGUGGAGUGUCCCGAGGGAGGGAGGUGAGCAGGAGGCCGUGCAAGGAAUUGAGGACGGCUGCUCACAGGAGGUAACAGCCGGAAGAGACCGCGGCUGUGUCAGGCUUCACCUUCUUCAUCUUACAAAUGAGUGUGAGAGGAGAAGAGAUGGGUUCAAGCUCUCACAGGACAGAAAUUGACCAGGAAUGCAUGCCGAUGGAAGACUGACCAGUGCUGAGCAGAAUGAACCAUCACUAUUAAAAUAUAAAGACACCUGUAAUAAUCUGGCUUUUUCUUUGCAACGUCGUCAUAUUGGUAGUGCGCUGGCUAGUUUUA